UCCUCCUUAGCUCAGUGGUAGAGCAUUCGGCUGUUAACCGAAGGGUCGCUGGUUCGAGCCCAGCAGGGGGAGCCA
rnacentral:tRNA from 1 species